rnacentral:rRNA from 1 species
AUACGUAGGGGGCGAGCGUUAUCCGGAAUUAUUGGGCGUAAAGAGUGCGUAGGUGGUUUUGUAAGCGCGGGGUGAAAGGCUAUGGCUCAACCAUAGUAAGCCUUGCGAACUGUGAGACUUGAGUGCAGGAGAGGAAAGCGGAAUUCCUAGUGUAGAGGUGAAAUUCGUAGAUAUUAGGAGGAACACCAGUGGCGAAGGCGACUUACUGGACUGUAACUGACACUGAGGCACGAAAGCGUGGGUAGC